GCCCAAUUUCAAAAUGGCAACAACGGAGUUUCUACCCAUGAGUCGCAGUCCGAGGGAGAAGAAUCAGAUGUUGAAAUUCAGGACUUACAGAGAAAUUUUAACAGGCUGCGUUUCACACCACCUGCCCAGGCUAUUAGAAUUCAGCCAUUACCUGCUGAAAGGACAAAAAUUAACAGACAUGGAAGAGAUAGAACCCAGAUUCAAGUGACUGAGGAUUGACCCGGAGGAGCCACUACCCAGAAGGAGGAGAUAUUGGAAAAAGAUGAAGAAAGACCAGAUUGAACCAGCCGAAAAGCUGAUUUCGUGGGAAGACAUGAAGAAGCUAACAACCCAGGCCUCCCGAAUACUUUGACGCCUAGGAAAGAACAGGACCCCAGUCUUGAUGGUAGCAACAGUAAUUGACCUACUGGGCUGUCAGGAUGGCGAGUCUUCCAAUCAAGAAUCCAGAAACUCCAGAGAGUGAACCGCUGCCUCAUUGUUAAGAAAAGGAAAGGGGAAUAUGUGGGAAGCCAUUUCUGACACGUGAUUGGAUGGCUCCCGUUAAGGGUCUGAGGCGCUCUGGCUGUGUCGGAGCUUUCCCGGCCCUUUCCUGAUGAGAGAGC